rnacentral:lncRNA from 1 species
UAAUCCACACACUCAGUAAUUAGCAUUUUUUUCUUCCUGUCGUGUCUCCAGGAAAAGUUGUCUGAAGUUCCCUUUGCUUUUUUGUUUACAUUGUUGCUGGUCAAGCUGGCCUGACAUUUUUAUACCCACCAAUGUCUUACUCACAGCAGAUGAUACUUUUUUAAAUUACCUAUUGAAUUAAUUUUUGUAUCACUGCUUCUUUUGAAUUACUUAUUGAAUUAAUUUUUAUAUCAAGGCGGGGCGGCAGGGGCUUUGUCCAUUUGAUGUAUGUGAAGACACCUUGGAAUGGAAAUGUUUUGAGGAUUCUUUUUCCAAAUUUGUCUCUAGUUAUAGUUACUGUGGUGGCUGUUCUUGGUUGUCAACCCAAGCAGGUAGGUACACCUGUGGGGAACUUUUUUUUUUUUUUCUUAAUUCCAUAAUUUGAAGUGAGAAGAACCACUUUUAAUCUGGAUCUUUUGAAGUGGCAAGAUCCACCUGCAAUCUGAGCCACCCCUGCUGGCAGCUUCUAUUAAAGGAGUUUGAAGAAAGAAGCUUGUUCUUUGCGUGCUUACAAAGAUGUCUACUUUAACUGGCAUUAGAGCCUACUAAUUCAGGAUUCUGACAUACACUGAACACCAGCCUUGUGGACUGAACAACUACUGGAUUAUUGGACCUUCCGUUAGUAAAUAGCCAUUGUUGGACUAGCUGGAGUCAUCUGUUUAUGCUCGCGUACAUGUGUGUAUGUUUACCAGGGAUGGCAGUAAUAGUUCCCUUAAAUUUGCCAAUUUAGAGUAAGCUCUUGGAUUUUCAUUGAAUUGAGAACGGUGGCCUUCCUGGGGAGAGACUUUUUACUGCCACCACCACCCCAUUCCCAAUUGUUCUAUUCCCUACAGAGAUAAACUUUCAUUUUCCAAUUGUCCCUGUCUUUUACAUUUCAGAGGGCUCGCCGGUAGGCUAUGGAGUGAAUGGUGAAGUUAAUGGGAGCUAAAUGGGUUGGUUCCGCUGGCCGAUGCUUGGCCAACACUAUACACUUUUGUCUCCCUACCUGAAGACAAACAGCCUGGGCUUUCUUUUGUGGAGUGUAGCAUUUUGCAUUUUUCCUUUGAAGUCUUGAUUUUGUUGGCGAAAUACUUGACGGUCUGAUCACUUUCUCAGGUCUGCUUUACGGUAAGAGUUCCUGGAGCUUUGUGAAUCCAAAAACGAGUUCCAGACAUUGUCAUGAAUAGAAUAAAUUCUGUUUCCUGCAUGUGUGUUUUCAAGUGUGUGGACACUGUUAUUAUCAUUAAUAAAGUUGCCACUUAGUUUCAAAUC